rnacentral:rRNA from 1 species
UACGAAGGGUGCAAGCGUUACUCGGAAUUACUGGCGUAAAGCGUGCGUAGGCGGUUUGUUAAGUCCGUUGUGAAAGCCCGUGGGCUCAACCUGGGAAUUGCAGUGGAUACUGGCGAGCUAGAGUGCGGUAGAGGAGUGGUGGAAUUCCCGGUGUAGCGGUGAAAUGCGUAGAGAUCGGGAGGAACGACCCGUGGUGAAGGCGGGUCUCUGGGCCGAUACUGGACGCUGAGGAGCGAAAGCGUGGGGAGCAAACAGG